rnacentral:rRNA from 1 species
CCUACGGGAGGCAGCAGUGGGGAAUAUUGCACAAUGGGGGAAACCCUGAUGCAGCGACGCCGCGUGAGUGAAGAAGUAAUUCGUUACGUAAAGCUCUAUCAGCAGGGAAGAAAAUGACGGUACCUGAGUAAGAAGCCCCGGCUAACUACGUGCCAGCAGCCGCGGCAAUACGUAGGGGGCAAGCGUUAUCCGGAUUUACUGGGUGUAAAGGGAGCGUAGACGGCAGUGCAAGUCUGGAGUGAAAGGCGGGGGCUCAACCCCCGGACUGCUCUGGAAACUGUACGGCUGGAGUGCAGGAGGGGUAAGUGGAAUUCCUAGUGUAGCGGUGAAAUGCGUAGAUAUUAGGAGGAACACCAGUGGCGAAUGCGGCUUACUGGACUGUAACUGACGUUGAGGCUCGAAAGCGUGGGGAGCAAACAGGAUUAGAUACCCGUGUAGUC